GCUCCAAUAGCGUAUAUUAAAGUUGUUGCGGUUAAAAAGCUCGUAGUCGAAUUUGUGUCCCGCGCCGCCGGUUCAUCGCUCGCGGUGUUUAACUGGCGUGUCCGCGGGACGUCCUGCCGGUGGGCUCAGCCUCCUCCUCUCUAGGGGGGGGGCGGCCCAACUUCAAAUCCCACCGCGGUGCUCUUUGCCGAGUGUCGAGGUGGGCCGGCACGUUUACUUUGAACAAAUUAGAGUGCUUAAAGCAGGCUAAAACUUCGCCUGAAUACUGUGUGCAUGGAAUAAUGGAAUAGGACCUCGGUUCUAUUUUGUUGGUUUUCGGAACUCCGAGGUAAUGAUUAAUAGGAACGGAUGGGGGCAUUCGUAUUGCGACGUUAGAGGUGAAAUUCUUGGAUCGUCGCAAGACGGACAGAAGCGAAAGCAUUUGCCAAAAACGCUUUCAUUGAUCAAGAACGAAAGUUAGAGGUUCGAAGGCGAUCAGAUACCGCCCUAGUUCUAACCAUAAACGAUGCCAGCUAGCGAUCCGCCGACGUUCCUCCGAUGACUCGGCGGGCAGCUUCCGGGAAACCAAAGCUUUUGGGUUCCGGGGGAAGUAUGGUUGCAAAGCUGAAACUUAAAGGAAUUGACGGAAGGGCACCACCAGGAGUGGAGCCUGCGGCUUAAUUUGACUCAACACGGGAAACCUCACCAGGCCCGGACACCGGAAGGAUUGACAGAUUGACAGCUCUUUCUUGAUUCGGUGGGUGGUGGUGCAUGGCCGUUCUUAGUUGGUGGAGCGAUUUGUCUGGUUAAUUC
rnacentral:rRNA from 1 species